GGCCUUGUGCUUUUUUGCUUUUUAUUUUUUUGUCUCCAUUUUAUUCUAAAGGGAGAAGAAGAAGGGACACCACUUGCUACUUGCUUUUUAAUCAUCAAUUCAUCAUUGUGAAAGGGCUUUCUGUAGAGAGAUAGAGAGAACAUUAUAAUUAAGGAAGAGAGGCAAAGAGACAGCUUAUGUAUGAGAAGAAGAGAUAUAUUCUUUAGUUCAUGACCAAUUGGAGAAAUGGGUUGGAAAUACAAAGGAGGUUUGAUACUUAUCAUCACAGUUGUGAUCGUUUGGGUCACCUCUGCAGAGGUAACACAGGGUGUUUUCACAGAAUAUAAUCACCCAUUUGCAGUUACAUAUCUGGGAACCUCUCUUUUAGUUGUUUAUCUUCCUAUUGCAUUCAUCAAGGAUUGGCUGCUAAAGUUUAUGAGACAUCAGUCAAGUAGAAGUGAUAAAAAUGAAGGAACCACUGAUAAGCCAUCUGCAGGAAUUGAUUGUUCUGUCAAACAAAAUAAGACACCAGAUAAUUUUGAAAUUGAAUUCCAUGGAACUUCUGCUAAUAAGGACUGUGCUAUAGAUCUUUUCUUAAAGGAGGAUGGAAAUUCAUUAGUCUCUCAGAGCAACAACAAUGUAGACAGCCUGAAAGCAGACAGUAAGCUUACUGCCUGGGAAACUACUAUUGUUGGCUUAUGCAUUGCUCCUCUGUGGUUUCUCACAGAGGUAAGGCUUGCUUGUUUCCAGUUUACAUUUUCUUUUUGGCAGCUAAUUUCGUUUAAUACUAUUAAGAAGUGCAGUAUUGGAAGCAAAAUCUUAAAUUUAGAGGGGACCUGAUCUUAGCUGAAUUAGUUUGUUGAUUAUGUCAUCUGCAGUAUCUAACAAAUGCGGCACUUGCAAGAACAAGUGUUGCCAGUACAACAUUAUUGUCUUCAACUUCAGGCCUUUUUACUCUUUUGAUUGGCGCGCUUCUGGGUGAAGAAUCCAUCACUGUAGUCAAAGCAAUUUCUGUUCUGGUGAGCAUGGCUGGUGUUGCAAUGACAAUUGUGGGCAAAACUUGGGCUGCUGGUGGAUCACCAUCAAGCACAUCUAAAGAUCAUAAGCAUUCUCUUCUAGGAGAUCUUUAUGCUGCUCUAUCAGCUUUGACUUAUGGACUGUUUACAGUGCUUCUUAAAAAGUUUGCAGGAGAAGAAGGGGAAAAGGUAGAUGUGCAGAAGUUGUUUGGCUAUAUUGGAUUGUUCACACUCACUACCCUUUGGUGGAUCGUGUGGCCUCUCACUGCCAUGGGUGUAGAACCCAGUUUCAAAUUUCCACGUUCUGCUAAGAUGGAAGAGAUCAUCCUUCUCAACAGUUUUGUUGGGAGUGUCCUAUGUGAUUAUUUCUGGGCAUUGGGAGUCGUUUGGACCAGCCCUCUGGUGGCAGCACUAGGCGUUUCCCUUACCAUACCACUUGCCAUGUUGGAGGACAUGAUGAUCCAUGGUCAGCAGUUUUCAGCAAUUUACAUCAUUGGUUCAGCUCAGGUACUUCUGGGAUUUAUAAUAGCUAACCUCGCAGACUGGAUUUCCCAAAGGCUAAAAUGGUAGUCCUUGACAUCACCAGAAUUUUUCAAGUACUGUUUUUUUUUUUUUUUGAUAUUGUUUUUCCCAGUGUACUGACUUAUUGCUUGAGCCCUUACUAUGGAUGUGAUGAUGAAUAGUAAUGAUGUUCUUGGCCUUUUAAUGGCUAUAUAUUUAACAAAGAUUACAGAGCUUAUAAAUAUAGAAACCAUGGCCAUAUCGCAUUUUUGUUCAUUGAUAUCAAUAAGCCUCAUUUCCCACUGGGUUUGAUAUUCUGCAAUUGCAGCACCAAUUUUGAAGCUCAGCUUGUAAAAAUGACUGAAAAAGUUUUCACUAAAAAAGCAGCUUUGCGGGUAAAGAACAACUUGGACUACCAAAACUGACAACUCCCCUCCACCAAGGCUAAAUUUGUUGCCUUCUCUUGGAACCCACAUGGCACAGGCACUAAAAUUGUAAGGAAAGAUGGUUUGAUUGUACGAAAAGUGAACAUUAUCAGCAAUCUUACAUGAGCAAAGCUUUUCAUCAAUAUUGGGACAGGAUAGCAUAUGCUUUAUCCGUUCAAUUAAAGCAUCUAAAAGAACAAGUGCAACCAAAAAUAAAAGAACCAGUACUGGAUAGCCUCGAGGAUAUUAUAUUCGUCUUUCUUGAGUUUUAUCUUUUUCUGGAAAUAUUAGUCCUUUACUACUACAGACAUUGCUGUGAACAAACAAGAUUUUGUGCCCUGCUUUCUUCCUGUUGUGAAGACUCCGGAGGUGAGAAACAUUGCAUCAAAAAAUUAAAUUUGAGUUUGCUAUUGCAUCUCAACAUCACAAGCAUUGCCAAUCACACAUUCCAUUUGAUCCUCGUAAAGAGAAUGACAUGAUCAAAUUGGUCACAUUAGCAGAUCUAAAUCCCACCCCAGCACCACAAGGCAUUGUUUUCUGGAUGAGUUUAUUCACUUAAGGGAACAUGAGAUAUAAGAUCACACAGGAUAACUCUAAUACUGUCACAAACAAUACCGAGUUAUCCAGGGCAAGGAGGCUUUAGAACGUUGAUAAUAACUCCAACGCUUUAAUAAAUAGGGCUAUAAUAAUGUGUAAACAUAUACAAACAAAAAAGAUAAUAAUGCUAAUAAGACGCCUAUAAUUAAGAAAGUUUAUCAUUGUCAUACUGUGUGAUAUGCCAGACAUGACCCUACAACAAGCUACUAAUUGUUGUGAGUCACUAAUUUGCUAUGAAUUUAUCUUGGGAACACACUUUCACCCUGGCUCCUUUUUGACUAAAGAAUGAGGCAACCAUCAAAGUGUUCAAAC
rnacentral:misc_RNA from 1 species